AAUGCACCAUUUUGUAUGUCGCUCUGGAUAAGAGCGUCUGCUAAAUGACUUAAA
rfam:Salmo salar isolate Sally breed double haploid chromosome ssa25, whole genome shotgun sequence.